UAUGAUACUCGUACUUUAGGAGAGGAGCAAGAGUCUGAAGAUGACUUGGACGAUGAUGCUGAAGCAUACUAUAGAUUAGUUAAUGAUGGACGCCAAGAGUUGUACCCAGGUUGCAAAAGAUUCUCGAAGCUGCAAUUUUUGGUGAGGUUGCUUCACAUCAAGAAUAUGAGGGGAGUGGGCAAUGUCUGCUUUGAUGAGGUAUUGACGCUAAUUAAGGAGGUACUUCCAGAAGGUGAGGCCUUGCCCAAAAAAUUUCAUGGGGCCAAAAAGUUUGUGAGAGCCAUUGGUAUUGGUUAUGAUAGUAUAGAUGCAUGCAAAAAUGAUUGCAUUCUAUUUAGGAAGGAACAUGCUGAUGCCAUAUCAUGUCCAGUGUGUGGCACAAGUAGAUGGAAGAGCGUAAAUACUGGAGUUGAUGGAAGGCGUGUCCACAAGGUGCCUCAAAAGGUGGUUCGUCAUUUCCCGCUAAAGAAGAGACUCCAAAGGUUGUUCGCUUCUACAAAGACGGCAUCAGAUAUGAGGUGGCACAACGAAGGCCGCACAAAGGACGGCAAGAUACGACACCCAGCUGAUUCACCUGCAUGGAAACACUUUGAUGCUAUUCACAAAGACUUCAGUUCAGAAGUUUGCAACGUUAGAUUUGGAUUGGGAGCUGAUGGUUUCAACCCUUUUGGAAAUAUGAAUCUCUCAUAUAGCAUAUGGCCUAUCAUCUUGAUCCCCUACAACCUUCCUCCAUGGAUUUGUAUGAAGCAAUCAAACUUUAUCCUCUCUAUCAUCAUUCCUGGUAAAAAAUCUCCAGGGAAAGACAUGGAUGUUAGCUAACCAACAAAACAAUAGCGAGAAUGUGGAUCCCAACAAAACAACUACUGGAACUCAGGUGACCAACCAUGAGACUGGUUGCAGUACUUCAGAAGCUGCAGUGAGUAAUACACUGAAGAGAAAGAAGGUUUCUGAAAUAACAAGAAUGAGAAAAGCUACUCAAGCAAUCUCUGCUACAACCGGAAUCAACAUACUUAGGAAUUCGGGCAGGGAAACAUGAAAGAUGGUCAUAGAUGCCAUCCGAAAGUCGAAGUUGAAGGUGACACACAUCUGAUUGGUUUCUGUACUUCUAAUUGAUUGCAUCAAGCUGGAACGCUCUUUACAUUGUUUUUACAACAGUAGGCAGUGUACCUCUGUGUUACAUUGUUAUCACAACAGUAGGCAAUGUACUUGUGUUACAUUGUUGGCCCUGUGUUGCUGAUUGAUACUUUGAUGUCGUUUUCGAAUUUGUGAAGAUGUUCUAAUGCUUUAUAUUAUUCGCUUGUACGAUGGUACUUCUAGUC